rnacentral:rRNA from 2 species
CAGAUUGAACGCUGGCGGCAUGCCUUACACAUGCAAGUCGAACGGCAGCACGGGAGCAAUCCUGGUGGCGAGUGGCGAACGGGUGAGUAAUACAUCGGAACGUGCCCAAUCGUGGGGGAUAACGCAGCGAAAGCUGUGCUAAUACCGCAUACGAUCUACGGAUGAAAGCAGGGGACCGCAAGGCCUUGUGCGAAUGGAGCGGCCGAUGGCAGAUUAGGUAGUUGGUGAGGUAAAGGCUCACCAAGCCUUCGAUCUGUAGCUGGUCUGAGAGGACGACCAGCCACACUGGGACUGAGACACGGCCCAAACUCCUACGGGAGGCAGCAGUGGGGAAUUUUGGACAAUGGGCGCAAGCCUGAUCCAGCCAUGCCGCGUGCAGGAUGAAGGCCUUCGGGUUGUAAACUGCUUUUGUACGGAACGAAACGGCUCUUUCUAAUAAAGAGGGCUAAGGACGGUUCCGUAAGAAUAAGCACCGGCUAACUACGUGC